GAACGCUCUUGGCAGUUGAGAUUCAGACCUUGACAGUUGUAACCGAUAGACUGGGCUGGGGCAACGCUGAUGAAAGGCAAAUUCCUGAGAGAAAAAUCACCCAGAUUUUUCAGUGCCUUCUCUAGCUUUCUAGAAGUUGUUAUGAGUGGACCUGACUACCUAGAGAGAGUAAUACAGAAGCUCCGUGCCGAUCACAGCUACCUCAUUACCAUGUUCCUCCAAGAUGGCCGCCCCUGAGGAGAAUCAUCAACUGGGCUUUACGGAAGAGAGAAAUCCAAACGACCAUCAGCAACAAAUGAAAGACUGAAGUUGAAAGUUUCAAGAUUGUCAAGAAUGACGAGUUGGACUUGGUCUAGUUACUUCCACAGCAGCAGGAGGAACAUGUGUGUGACUCAGGAUAACUGGGGAAGCCUUGGCUAGGCUUUCCUCAUGUCAACCUACCACUCAAAGGGAGAAAACCUCCUGAUCAGAGGUGCCCAGAACCCAGGAAAUCCAUAAUUUUUGAAUGCUGGCCGAGGUCUGUGACCUCUGACUGAAUGGUUUCCAAGCUCCGAAUUCCUAGGUGAUGUUUUCAUUUGUUCACACUUGCUGAAGAAGGGAAAGGCUCUCUGAUUUACGUGUAAGCAAAACAAUCUAAACAGUAGGAUAAAAUCAUGUUGGAAUGGAGUUCUGUGUGGAUGCUCCUUUGAACCAAAUCAGUUCCACAACUGACCCUGUCAGGGACAUAUAAAUUUAGCAUUUUGGUGUGGAUACAGAAGACGAGAUUAACACAGAUCAAGUAACAUGGAAAUAAAAAAGGAGACAAUGCUGGAUGAUACAGGGGCAGCCAACAAGAGGAGAAAACCCAAGCAUUGGCAAAUGCCUCAUUAUCCAAAGAACACUGAGGUGUGGAGCAAAACUGUGUUGAAUGAACUGUAGAUGGAAAUUCUCUCCUUCCCACCGAGGAGCCGCUGCAGGUUGCAGACUCCCAGAAUGCCACACUGAGAAGAGGAGGGCUAAAAUUCUAGAGCAGAAUCCCUGGGGCAGCCCCUGCUGAAGAAGGGUGCAUCUGUUGAGAAUCUCAUCACCGCCCCCACCCCGCCCAGCCUUCAAUUUAGAGGAAUUUCUAGUUCACGCAGAAUGAAGACAAGAUCACAUAAGUGAGGACGACGCCCCAUUUACAAGUGUGAUUUGGAAGACUGAAGUGGAAACCUUGGGAAGGGGCCUCAGAGUAUGUCAGCUGGGGUCAGACGGGAACAGGAGUCUGGCUCAACACACAUUUAUUGCACUCCUGUUUCAUGCCAAGAAAUGUACCAAAAUCUGGGACUGUGUAACACAGCAAAGGAAAAGACUCAUCUCCAGGAAGCCCCCUUGUCUAGGAAGAGAAAUUGAAUAUCAGCAUAAGGUGGUGAAAAGCUGUGAAGGAGAUGAGUGCCAGGAGUCCAUGGAGGAAGGAUUCUAGCCUGGACAGAGUCUCCAUGAAUUGCAAGGGAAAACAAGUGGUACACUGGUAUUUCUAUUUGAUAACCUGUUCUCUUUGGAAUUCCGGUUAGAAAUCAAAGGCUUACUUGAGUUUUAAUGCUUUCGGGACUUCAAAUGCUUUUCUAUCUUCCUAAUAAUAUAUUAACAUUUUCUGAAGACAACAUAUAUGUGGAAAACAACAUUAUUUACUCAAAUAAUUUUUUUUGAAAAAUGGACCAAAAAAAAAGAAAAACCAACAAAAA
ensembl:lncRNA LINC01206 long intergenic non-protein coding RNA 1206